rnacentral:rRNA from 1 species
AUUGAACGCUGGCGGCAGGACUAACAAAUGCAAGUCGAGCGGAGCGGCGGACGGAUGAGUAAGGACUAGGAAUGUGCCUGGUAGUGGGGGAUAACGUCAGGAAAUGGGAGCUAAUAACGCAUACUAUCAGAUGAGCCUAGGUCGGAGGAGCUAGUUGUGGGAGUACAGGCCGACCAAUGCGACGACCCGUCACUGGUGUGAGAGGAUGAUCAGUCACACUGGAACUUAGACACGGUCCAGACUCUUACGGUAGGGAGCGGUGGUGAAUAUUGGACAAUGGGCGAAAGCCUGAUCCAGCCAUGCCGCGUGUGUGAAGAAGGUCUUCUGAUUGUAAAGCACUUAUAGUUGGGAGGCGUUACCAUCAGAAUAAGCACCGGCUAACUUCGUGCCAGCCGCCGCGGUAAUAC